rnacentral:rRNA from 1 species
CCUACGGGGGGCAGCAGUGGGGAAUAUUGCACAAUGGGGGAAACCCUGAUGCAGCAACGCCGCGUGAGUGAUGACGGCCUUCGGGUUGUAAAGCUCUGUCUUCAGGGACGAUAAUGACGGUACCUGAGGAGGAAGCCACGGCUAACUACGUGCCAGCAGCCGCGGUAAUACGUAGGUGGCGAGCGUUGUCCGGAUUUACUGGGCGUAAAGGGGGCGUAGGCGGACUUUUAAGUGAGAUGUGAAAUACUCGGGCGCAACUUGGGUGCUGCAUUUCAAACUGGAAGGCUAGAGUGCAGGAGAGGCGAAUGGAAGUCCUGGUGUAGCGGUGAAAUGCGUAGAGAUGAGGAAGAACACCAGUGGCGAAGGCGAUUCUCUGGACUGUAACUGACGCUGAGGCUCGAAAGCGUGGGGAGCAAACAGGAUUAGAUACCCGUGUAGUC